rnacentral:rRNA from 1 species
AUGGCCAUUGAGAAGGACAUGUUUGAUUUCUUCCGUCAUGACUGGGAGACUGCGUUUAGCCGGCGCAGCGGCCACUUCCUUAACAAGACGACACUGAGUUCCAUGCAGUUUGCAAACUUGGCACCUGGGCGCAUCCCAUGCGGUGCUGACAUAGAAUCUGUCGUGCAGAUCUUCUCCUUCAAGCUCAUGGAAGUGAAAGGCGGCUUCAAAUUUCCAUCGUCCGUGUAUGGGGUGGUCGCUGCUCGUGAUACCGCGGACUACAACCGUCACCUUCUCUUCUUUUGUGAUAGGAACAACUCCCAAAAACUCACUCAAGAUGAUCCUUAUCUGCGCCUGAUCGGCCUGUCUCGUGCGGUCUAUGAGGUCCAGCUUAUGGUGAAAGGCAGCGUGAAGUCUCGGGACAGGCCGUUGAUCACCGAUACAUACCGUUAA